AUAUAUAGUCUUUUGUUUUGUGAAGUGACCACUACAGCUGAAAUCACUGAUAAGUGCUUAGUCCUGCUGUGGGGACAGUGUUUUUGUGUAAGAGACAGCCCAGACUGAAUUAGCAGUGAGGUUCCCCCACUGAGAGCUCAGCUGAAAAUCACUGAGAGCUGGGUGGAACCUCAAGAGACCAACUCGCAGAGGUCACAGUGGCAGGUGGCAGCAGAAGGUGAUGGUGCAGGGCCAUUGGCAACAGAGCAAUGGAGUGAACGGCGGCACAACGAACAGAGGCCAGAACGAACAGUGAGCAGCUGGAGGAACAAGCAAGGUGCCUUCUCCCUCCCCCACCUGGGAGGUGUACUCACGUGAAAGCACUUCUGAACUCUGAGUCUCCACUGACCAAAGACAACACCGGCUGAAAGUAGAGUUUGGGCACACACAGAGCACACUGCAAAGUCACCCUUUGGCUUAUUUUCACAUCAAAAAGGCAGAUGGUUUUGAAUUGUGAAGUGUUAAGGACAAGAAUUCAAGAACUGCUACCUAUUGACAAGUCUCAAAAGCGAGACUCCGUCCAUUACUAAUGAGGAGUUCCGAAUGGCUUCUCUUCGCUGUGGGGAAUUAAGGCAAGUUGAUAGAACCCUGCAUGGAUACAAAAUUGGUAUCCACAACUGCAAAAAUGAUCCACAGAUAUCUGCGUCCACAUGCACGGAUUUGUGGGGCUCUACAAGUGGGCAAUCUACACAACAGGCACCGGAAAAGCAGAAUAGCCUGACUUUCAGCAUAUUCUUAGUGUGAAAGGUCAAAUCUUUUGAUGCUACAAGACUCCUGGCCCCUCUACAUUUUGUUAGUCUUAUCUGACAAAAGCCUUAACGUAUAGACCUUAGAG